AAGCCAUGGUGAGGGCAUUCACUCAAUAAACCAUUAAACCGUUCAAAACACUGAAAAAGAGUCUCUCCAUCUUGAUGGACGAAACAAGUGAUACUUUGACGGAGAUC